CACGCUGUAAACGAUGAAAACUAAGUAUUGCCGCGAGGCAGUGCUGUAGCUAACGCAUUAAGUUUUCCGCCUGGGGAGUACGCUCGCAAGAGUGAAACUUAAAGGAAUUGACGGGGGCCCGCACAAGCAGUGGAGCAUGUGGUUUAAUUCGAAGCAACGCGAAGAACCUUACCUAGACUUGACAUCUCCUGAAUUACCCGUAAUGGGGGAAGCUCUUCGGAGCAGGAAGACAGGUGG
rnacentral:rRNA from 1 species